GGUCAAGCGAACAAGUACAUGUGGUGGAUGCCUUGGCGAUCACAGGCGAUGAAGAACGCGAUGCGGUAGCUUGCGAAAAGCGAUGGGGAGCUGGCAAACGAACUUUGAUCCGUGUCGAUGUCCGAAUGGGGAAGCCCGCCGGCCCUCUUCUGGGUCGUCCUGAGCUGAAUACAUAGGCUCAGUGAAGCGGACGCGGUGAACUAAAACAUCUAAGUAACCGCAGGAAUAAAGAAAUCAACCGAGAUUCCUAAAGUAGUGGCGAGCGAAAUGGGAUCAGCCUGAACUCUUCAGCACGGUCGUUAGCCCAACACUUUGGACAUAGCAGGUGAUAGCCUUGUAGGCGAAAGCGAAUGUGUGGAACUUAUACAGGGCGGGACACGUGGAAUCUUGUCUGAAGAUGGGGGCCAUCCUCCAAGGUUAAAUACUCGUGAUCGACCGAUAGUGAACCAGUACCGUGAGGGGAAGGCGAAAAGAACCUCGGGAGGGGAGUGAAAUAAAUCCUGAAACUGCAUGCAUAAAAACAGUCGGAGCCUUUGCGAAGGGGUGGCGAUGUACCUUUUGUAUAAUGAGUCAGCCACUUACGUUCAGUAGCAAGCUGAACUGAUUAAGACAGGCGUAGCGAAAGCGAGUCCGAAUAGGGCGUUCAGUUGCUGGGCGUAGACCCGAAACCCAGUGAUCUAUCCAUAGCCAGGUUGAAGGUGCGGUAACACGUACUGGAGGACGAACCCACUAAUGUUGAAAAAUUAGGAGAUGAGCUGUGGAUGGGGUGAAAGGCUAAACAAACUUGGAAAUAGCUGGUUCUUUCCGAAAACUAUUUAGGUAGUGCCUCGUGUAUCAUCGGAGGUAGAGCGCUGUCAUGGUUGUGGGGUCCAUUGCGGGUUACUACGCCAUAGCAGAUUCCGAAUACCGAAGAGUGCAAUCACGGGGGACAGACAUAGGGUGCUAACGUCCGGUGUCAAGAGGGAAACAACCCAGACCGCCAGCUAAGGUCCCCAAAUAUUGCUAAGCGGGAAGGCUAAAACAGUCAAGAGGUUGGCUUAGAAGCAGCCGUCUUUUAAAGAAAGCGUAAUAGCUCACUGGUCGAGUCGUCUCGCACGGAAGAUGUAACGGGGCUAAGUAAUAUACCGAAGCUGCGGAUGCGAGAUUUAUCUCGCAUAGUAGGAGAGCGUUCCGUAAGUUUGUGAAGGCGCAUUGAAAAGUGUGUUGGAGGUAUCGGAAGUGCGAAUGCUGACAUGAGUAAUCGGCAUAGGGGACGACCGUAGUAGGCCGUACCCC
rnacentral:ncRNA from 1 species